UUUUAAAUAUUUGCCACAACUAUUUUCUAAUGCUGUUUCUGAUUUUAUGCCCCACGGUUGGGUUGGAGCCCAUCUCGGCUGACCAGUUUCCGGUUUUAACUACUUCAAAAUUCUCCUGUAUCUCUAACUACUUCACGGCUUCACCUACAUAGACAAGAAGAUCGCCAGACCUAUAACACCAUUGGUAUACAUCCUCCUCACCGGUUGCAACGACGACGAUGCCAUAAUGGAUAGAUGGUUCCUUUUACCGUUUGUUUCCGAUUGGGGAGGAGCGAAGAUGGGAAGAGGAGCCUGAAUCCUAAUUUAAUUAUCCAAUUUCAAAUUCCUUCAAUUUUCCACACACAACUUUCCACAAGUUGAAUAUGAGGUAAUGUAACUAUUAAUUACCUACGAAAUUGAGCUUAAUUACACAUGGUUAAAAUACGAUUCUCUUUUGUAGGUUUCAUUGAAAGCUUUCAUUUUUUUUUGUAUCUUAAUUUUCGCUGCUGCUAAAAGUUUGUCUAAGAGUUUUGGAGGUUUAAUUACAGCUACGAAAAGUUGUGGGGUUUAUGGAGAUGUGACCGAUAUUCAUUUCUGUUGAUUUUAUGCAAUCAUAAGUCCUUCUUCCUACUCUAUUAACUGAAGGUUUGCACACCAAUUGUUUGUGGAAAUGUCUUAUUCUUGGUAUGACAUUUGGGGAUAUUAUAUAAUCUAUCGUACUUUUGGCUUUCUAUUUGUCCGAAUCACCAACGGAACUUGAUUUUUAUAUCAGAUUUAAUUCCAAUCAUUAAUGUUGGAAUUUUGCAAAAGUUUGGGGAAAAAUUAUACGCCUGUUCAUUUAACACUCUGGUUUUGUUACAUAAAUGUCUUGACUUUUGUUUCUCUAUGUACCUGGUUCAUUUCUUACUUUUCAUGUUGUAAAUUAAUAAUUUUGUAUAUACAACCAUUUAAAUUUUACAAAAAGUAUUAUUAUAUUUUAACAACAUUAUCCCUAUAAAAAUUCCCCUUAUUUUUGUUUUUACUUUGACUGUCAUUUUGUUAGUGGAAACUUUAGAGCAUUGGGUAUGGGUCCCAUCCACAACGCUGCCACAUCACCUGCAACUCUUCAUGACUUCUUGAGGGGAUGGUAUUCCUAGUAUUAACCUCGUUGAGGUGAAGAAAAAAAGAAGAAAAACAGAGAAAAGAAAGAGGAAGAAAGAAAGAAACUGGCGUUAUGGGAUGUUAUGCCAGCAACGAGGAGCAACGAGCAACACCAAAACGAGAAGCAGGGGCGGUGUGCAACGAGAUGCAACGCCGUUUUGGGCGUCCACCUCAGCCUCGUUGAGGCUCAACGAGACCCAUACCGGGUGCUCUUAUGUACUCAUUAUUACUACUUCAAAGUACUCAUCUGAGGAUAAUUGGCAAAAUAAUGAUUAGAUGUUUAAUUUCGAUUCAAGCAUUAAGUGUGUGUUUUGUAUGCAAGUUUAACGUGGUAUGUUGCUGGAUAAUAAUGGUAUUCAUAAACUCUAGCUAAAUGAUACUUAUAUAGGUAAUGAAGUUAUCUUUUCAUCUAUUUUAUUUAUAAAAUUUGAAAAUUUCAAUA